AGAAAUUCAUCUUGAAAAUCUGAGAAGUUUAUUUUCACCAAUGGGAAAAGAGAUGAAGAUAUCUCAUAGAUAAGGACCCAAUGUGCCAAGAACUAUAAGUAUACUCACUGACUACUCUCUUCAAACAAGCAAUCAGCACUUCCACAUUGUCUAAAAGACAAUACACUUUUUUUUUCUUUUUCUUUUCUGAAAUGGCAUCUUCAACAAUGGCUCUCUCCUCCUCUUCUCUAGUAGGCGAAGCCGUCAAGCUUAGUCCGUCUACUUCUAACCUUCUCGGUGAGGGCCGGGUCACCAUGCGCAAAACCGCAGCCAGGUCCAAAACUGUGUCAUCUGGCAGCCCGUGGUACGGCCCUGACCGUGUUAAGUACUUAGGCCCAUUCUCUGGUGAGGCCCCAUCUUACCUCACCGGAGAAUUCCCUGGUGAUUACGGUUGGGACACUGCUGGGCUCUCAGCAGACCCAGAGACCUUUGCCAAGAACCGUGACUUGAGGUUAUCCAUUCAAGAUGGGCCAUGCUUGGUGCAUUGGGCUGCGUUUUCCCUGAACUCUUGUCCCGUAACGGAGUCAAGUUCGGUGAGGCUGUUUGGUUCAAGGCUGGAGCCCAAAUAUUUAGCGAGGGUGGGCUAGACUACUUGGGGAACCCAAGCUUAGUCCAUGCCCAGAGCAUUUUGGUGAUUUGGGCAACACAAGUUAUCUUGAUGGGUGCCGUGGAAGGGUACAGAAUUGCCGGUGGGCCUCUUGGUGAAGUAACAGACCCAUUAUACCCAGGUGGGAGUUUUGACCCAUUAGGCCUUGCAGAGGAUCCAGAAGCUUUUGCUGAGCUGAAGGUGAAGGAGCUCAAGAAUGGAAGACUAGCUAUGUUCUCUAUGUUUGGGUUCUUUGUGCUGGCCAUUGUUACUGGAAAGGGACCAAUAGAAAACCUAGCUGACCACUUGGCUGACCCUGUUAACAACAAUGCCUGGGCAUAUGCCACAAACUUUGUUCCUGGAAAGUGAGGGGUGCAUUAACAACUUGAGGAAGAAGUGCUUUUACAAAUUGCUUGUGCGUUUGUUGUGAAAUGGGUAUUAUUUUUUUUCUAUGUGCUAUUGUGCUGAUGAAAUAUGGUGAUCAAUGCAAGAGAAUAUAGGAAUAAAUUUGAUAAAUGUCUGAGUCUUAAUAAAUGUUUGUAUAAGCAUGUUUUGAGU